rnacentral:piRNA from 1 species
GGAACGCCACGGUCUGGUAGACUCUUCUAU